GACUCUGGCAAACAGAAGAUACCUAGACUUCAGCCAAAUUUGGAGGUUUUCAAGCAUCUUCCAAAAUUUGGAUCAUGAAAUGCUACUAUGCCACUGCUGUACACAGAUAAAUACAAAAGACAUGAAUAUUAACAUGGACAUCCUUCUCUCCAAAUUGGAAAGAUCGAUUUGAUGGGUGGAUUGUUCCAUGGAUGAGGAACUGGUUGUAAGAUCAUACCCAGAGAGUGGUGGUCAGUGGCUCAAUGUCCAGAUGGAGGUUGGUAAUGAGAGGUGUCCCUCAGAGGUCUGUACUCGGACUGAUACUCUGUAAUAUCUUCAUCAACAACGUUGACAGUGGAAUCAAGUACACUCUCAGAAAGUUUGAGGAUGAUACUAAGAAGUGUGGUGUGGUCAAAACACCUGAGGGAAAAGAUGCCAUGCAGAGAGGCUCGAGCAGUGGGCCUAGGAGAAUCUCAAGAGUUCUCAAGGUUCAACAAAGCCAAGCGCAAGGUCUUGCAUCUGGAUUGCAGAAACCCUCACUAUCAAUACAGGCUGCAAGGUAAAAGGAUAGAGCACAGCUAUGAUGAAAAGGACUUGGGCUUGAAUGGUGAAUGCUAAGUUCAACAUGAGCCAGCCCUUGCAACCCAGAAAGCCAAUCUUACUGUGCAUCAAAAAGAAUAAUGGUCAGCAGUUCAAGGGAGAUGAUCCUGCCUCUCUACUUUGCGCUGAUGAGAUCUCAUCUGGAGUACUGUAUCCAGAUGUGGAGUUUUCAGUACAGGAAAGACAUAGACUUGUUGGAGUGCAUCCAGAGAAGGGCCACAAAGAUAAUCAGAGGACUGGAACACCUCUCCUAUGAGGACAGACUGAGACAACUGGGGCUGUUCACCGUGGAGAAGAGAAGUCUCCAUCAGGACCUGUUUGUGGUCUUUCAGUUUCUAAAGGAGGGCUGUAAGAAAGAAGGGGACAGACUCUUUAGCAGGACCUGUUGUGAUAGGAUGGGGGGAAAUGGUUUCAAACUAAAAGAGGGGAGAUUUAGAUUGGAUAUAAGGAUUUUUAUUUAUUUAUUUGUUUAUUUAUUACAAUAAGGGUAAUUAAACACUGGAAGAAGUUUCCUAGAGAUGUGGUUGAUGCCCUAUCCUUGGAGACAUUCAAGAUCAGACUGGAGGGGGCUCUGAGCAACUUGAUCUAGCUGUGGAUGUCCCUGUUCAUUGCAGGGGAGUUGGACUAGACAACCUUUAAGAGCUUUCUAACUCAAAUGACUCCAUGAUUCCAUGAGAUUUAUGUUGAACAAACUUUCUCCCAAGACCUUGGGAGCUUAAAGCAAGUACAUGAUUCCAUCACUUUGUUCUGUGGUAAUAGGAGGUUCCUCAUGGCAAAGUGGAAGAGUAAUGAAAGAUUCACUAUUUCUUGUCAGUCUCACUGCAGACAUUAAUAAUUAGCUAUCUCUAAGCUACUCUGAGAUUCAGCCAAUAUUACACUAAGCUCUGUAGUUAUUGAGGUGAAUCUGCUUUGGGGAAAAGAAGCUCUUUAAAUAACUGUCUUCCAAUAUAAUGUCUUCUUCAAUAAAAUAAAUUUGGUCUCCAAAUA